rnacentral:tRNA from 1 species
GGGGCCUUAGCUCAGCUGGGAGAGCGCCUGCUUUGCACGCAGGAGGUCAGCGGUUCGAUCCUGCUAGGCUCCA